GAAAUGCUAGUUAAAUCAUAAUAAUACCUUGUCAAGGUUUAGUUACCAACUGGUGUAUUUCC
rnacentral:tRNA from 1 species